rnacentral:pre_miRNA from 1 species
CCACGUUGUGAUUCUAUUACUUCCUCACUACGUUGUGAUUCUAUCACUUUUGUGAUUCUAUCACUUUCGUAGUGAGGAAGUAAUAGAAUCACAACGUGGUGAGGAAGUGAUAGAAUCACAACGUAGU